rnacentral:ncRNA from 2 species
UAUCUUUGCCCCAGAUAUGGUUAGUCCUAUGGAGCUCUUGCGCUCUUAUGGACAAGGGAAACAGGUGUAAGCCCUGUGCAGUCGCGCUGCCGUAGUUCUCCUGAUCUCCAAGGUCAGAGGAUACCCUCUCAGAUGCCACUGCUGACUUAGCUCAGUGGGAAGGCGAGAGUGCGUUAGAGAUAAGCCGGAAGACCUGCCAUGUCGGUCGAUAUUUU